CCUACGGGAGGCAGCAGUGAGGAAUAUUGGUCAAUGGGCGAGAGCCUGAACCAGCCAAGUCGCGUGAGGGAUGAAGGUACAGAGUAUCGUAAACCUCUUUUGUCAGGGAACAAAGGCGGGGACGUGUCCCCGGCUGCGUGUACCUGAAGAAAAAGCAUCGGCUAACUCCGUGCCAGCAGCCGCGGUAAUACGGAGGAUACGGGCGUUAUCCGGAUUUAUUGGGUUUAAAGGGUGCGCAGGCGGUCUGUUAAGUCAGCGGUCAAAGCCCGGGGCUCAACCCCGGCCCGCCGUUGAAACUGGCAGGCUCGAGUUGGAGAGAAGUAGGCGGAAUGCGCGGUGUAGCGGUGAAAUGCAUAGAUAGCGCGCAGAACUCCGAUUGCGAAGGCAGCAUGCCGGAUCCACACUGACGCUGAGGCACGAAAGCGUGGGUAUCGAACAGGAUUAGAUACCCGAGUAGUC
rnacentral:rRNA from 1 species